UUUGGGACUAUUUCCCCAAACCUCUGGUCAUUGCCUUUGUGGACAAGAGUGCAGUGGUGCAAUCUCGGCUCACUGCAAGCUCCACCUCCCGGGUUCAUGCCAUUCUCCUGCCUCAGCCUCCUCAGUAGCUGGGAUUACAGGCGCCUGCCACCAUGCCCAGCUAAUUUUUUUGUAUUUUUUAGUAGAGACGGGGUUUCACCGUGUUAGCCAGGAUGGUCUCGAUCUCCUGACCUCGUGAUCCCCCCACCUCGGCCUCCCAAAGGAAUUUAGUGUCUUAUGAGGCUACUAUGCUACUAGUGCAAAUUGUAGCAGGUGCUAUCUGAUUCUCCAUCAAUUUCAAAGACACAUCAAUGGCAGGCUUGCAGGGCCAUGUAGACAGUCAUCUGUUACCAGGGCUACUAAUAAAAACCCUAAUAUUACUGAGAUCUGAUGACCUAAGACCAAGGAACAGGGAUUACUUUGGGGAUGUAUGGGGGUGUAAAGCCAAGGUUUUCUCUAAGUACAUUAAUGCCUGGUUGAUACUGUAAAUUAACAGGCCUAUUUGCACUGUUCACUUUCUCUAAUGUCUUCCCCUAGAAUCAGGGCCUGAGAUCUCUUCAUUCUUGAGUAAUGAUUAAUAUUCCACCCAAAUGUUCCAUCCUUCAAUGGAAAACAUUUAAAAAAUUAUAGUGCUUAAUGCAGUUAUGAAGAGAUACACAUUCUGACCUUGAAGGAAAGUUCAUCUUCAUUCUCCCCUCGGAAAUCAUAUAAGGCUUUGGCCUUCCUCCCCUUCGGUACUAUGGCCAACAUACUUUUUGCCUCAGCUGUGAAGACAUAAAAAAUUUAAAUAUAUAGAAACACAGUGGACUAAAACACAAAUCUAACAUUUUUUAAAAAAAAACGCUUAUCGCUCUAAAAACACAGUAUCUUCUCUUCAGAGGUAGUGAUAUUAGGCAAAGAAAAACAUUUUUAAAAACAUGUUCAAUUAAUUUUGAACUUAUUUAACUUUCAAAAAGAUGAACAAUGUUCUUUUAGCAGGGAAAAAUUACGUAAACUAUAUUUAUUAGAUGGAAUUAGCCAUUAUUUAGUGAAGACAUUAUCUUUUUUUUCUAUAACUCUAACAAAGCAUAUGAAUGAAGUUUGCAUAACUUCAUGUAUCAGCUCUUUCAAAUAUAGACAGACAAACUGAGCAUGGCCAGAGGGGAAAGGAAUGUAUAUAGUUUUGAAGGUUUCAGGCUCCCCGUGAGGAGUCGCAUUCAUGUCUUGCGGUUGUCAUACCUGGGCAGGGCCUCACAAACACUGCUGGGAAGAUCCCCUCCCUGUCCUGCAGUCUGCCCCUGCACCAGUCAGAAUCCAGACGUUCCAGAAUCUGGAUCCGGUCUCCCCUCUUGAAUGAUAAGUCAUCACUGGUCUCUGCUGUAAAACUGUGAAGAGCUUCACACCAUUCUGCCGGAAGACUGUUAACCUGUUAUCAAAUUAGAGGUGUGGUCAGAAGUGUAAGAUUUUAUUUGAAAUUGAGUUCUACAAAGCUUAAAAAGUAGUGGGGAAAAAAAAACUAAGGGGUCUUAAGAUUUCAAAGCCUGAAGGCUUCUUUAAAUUAUCUAAUACUUUAUGUUGCUAUCAAGUUUCAGAAGUAAAAGUUUCCAAUAAUUUUUUCUUAAAUUAUAACUCUAAAUGACAAGUGUGAUAGAAUUUGUGGCUUUUCUGCUUUUAAGGGAUAUACAAAGCUUAAGCAAACACUUUUUUACUUUCUUUAUUUUCUUUUCUGAGCCAAGUUCUUACUUAGUAACCCAGGAUGGAGUACAGUGGCAGAAUCAUAGCUCACUGCAGCCUUGACUUCCUGGGCUCAGGCAAUCCUCCCUCCUCAGCCUCCCGAGUAGCUGGGACUACAGGUGCAGCCACCACACUCGGCUAUUUAAUUUUAUUUUAUUUUUGCAGAAAUGAAGUCUCACUAUGUUGCCCAGGCUGGUCUUGAACUCUUGGCUCAAGUGAUCCUCCCACCCUCCCAAACUUCUGGGAUUACAGGCAUGAUCCACCUCACUCAGCCAAAAAACUUUUUUCUUAAUAUGACCUAUUAUAUUGUUAUAUUAAAGAAUUAGGUAAAAGCAUAAAAUAUUUAUGCAUAGUAUUUGACACUAUGAAAAAAUUCUGAUAAAGUAUGUAAUUAUCAGUGAAGCUCUUCUUUAUUUAAAUUAGGAAGGAUCAGAAUGGGUUGGUCUAUGAAUUCCCAGGUCUUUACUUGAUUCAGAGACAAUUAGAGUCCAUAGCACAGAACUUCAUCAAUUCACACUUUUAAUUUUAUGAGCUGUAGUUAACUCUAAGAUUGGCAGGAUAACACCCAGAUGUGGUGGGCUAGUGUAAGAACACUUUUAUCCCAGGCACAUUAGAGAAAGGUUUUGCUCUGUGAAGAGGCAGCUCUGCCAAUUUGGGAUGGGAACCCUAUGUUCAAGAGGCUCAAGAAGGCAGUAGAGGAUAAUGAAAAGGCUUUUUUCUUUCGAGAUGGAGUCUCGCUCUGUUGCCCAGGCUGAAGGGCAAUGAUGCAAUCUUGGCUCAAUGCAACCUCUGCCUCCCGGGUUCAAGCAAUUCUCCUGCCUCAGCCUCCCGAUUAGCUAGGACUACAGGUGCACACCACCACACCCAGCUAAUUUUUGUAUUUUUAGUAGAGACGGGGUUUCACCAUGUUGGCCAGGCUGGUCUCGAACUCCUGGCCUGAAGCGAUCCACCUGCCUUGGCCUCCCAAGGUGCUGGGAUUACAGGAGUGAGCCUCAGCGCCUGGCCGGGACAAAGGCUUUGGAGCUACACAGGCAAGGUUUCCAGACCCAGUUCUGCCACUUCUUAACUUCGUGACACUGGGCAAGACGCUUCUCUUCUCUGAGGCUCAGCUUCAUCUUGGGGUUACUAAGAGGAUUAAAUGAGACAAUGCAUGUCUAACAUUUAGCCCAGUGCCUGGCACAUCUUAAGUGCUCAAUAACUGAUGGCUUAUAAAACAAAAACAAAAAGCAAGCAAACAACACUAACCCCCUCUUGCUCCUGCACUUGAGUAACCAACCCUAAAGGAUGGAACUUAUCAUUCUCCAAAAAUGCAGGCAACAACCAUGUGAACAUUUCCUUUUGGAGAACUGUAGUCAGUUUCCUUCCUGUUUCACUUUAUCAGUGGGUAGGGAUAAAGAAUUAAGGGACACACAGGCCAAUUACAAGUGACAUUUUCACAAACACAAUGAUCCCAUCAGGCUUAACUCUUCUAAAUUUGUCACAAAAAACAAUGGAAGGCCGGAUGUGGUGGAUCACCCCUGUAAUCCUAGUACCUUGGGAGGCUGAGGCAGGUGGAGCGCUUGAGCCCAGGAUUUUGAGACCAGCCUGGGCAACAAAAUGAGACCCUGUCUACAAAAAAUACAAAAAUUAGCUGGGAGUGGUGGUGUGUGCCUGUCAUCCCAGCUACUUAGGAGGCUGAGGUGGAUUGCUUGAGCCUGGGAAGCAGAGGUUGCAGUGAGCUGAGACCUCGACACUGCACUUAGCCUGGGCAUCAGAGUGAGAUCCUGUCUCAAAAAAACAAAACAAAACAAAACAAAAAAACCAAAAUAAAACCAAAAACAACAAAAAACUAAAAACAACAGAAGGCACCACAUUCCUAGUACCUUUAAGCAUUUCUGGGGUCAUGCUGAACAGUGUAAAAAUUUUAACCCACUAUUUUUCUCUUUCUCAUUAUACAAAUGAAACAAAUGUUCCUAAAUAUUUGGAAAGUUGAGAAACGUAUAAAGAAAUGGAGAAGGCCAGGCGCAGUGGCUCAUGCCAGUAAUCCCAGCACUUAGGGAGGCCGAGGUGGGUGGAUCACGAGGUCAGGAGUUCAAGACCAGCCUGGCCAAGACGGUAAAACCCCGUUUCUGCUAAAACUACAAAAAUUAGCGAAGCACAGUGGCAGGCACCUGUAAACCCAGCUUACUCAGGAGGUUGAGUCAGGAGAAUCACUUGAAGCCGGCAGCAGAGGUUGCAGUGAGCCAAGACUGCGCCACUGCACUCCAGCCUGGGCGACGGAGUAAGACUCCGUCUCAAAAAAAAGAAAAAAAAAAAAGAAGUGGGGGAAAAAAACCUACCCGUAUAUAUAAUCUCACUACCUAGAUGCAAUUUAAUACUAGUAACUUGAAUAAUUUCCUUCCAGUCUUUUUAUGCUAUAUAUUCAAUUUUAUAUCCCCUUUCCCUAUGUUUCCUCUCAUGACAUUUAAAAACAUUAUUUUAUUUGAUAAAUCUAGUUUUUCAUAGCUUUAGAAUAUUCUCCCAAUAAUGGUCAUAUUUAGGUUGUUUCCAAUUUUUUCUUAUUAUAUUAGCACUAUGCUCAUCUUUGUGACUAAAACCCUAUCUCAUUUUUUAUCCUUUUCUUAGGGUGACAAAUAAGAAUGUGUACUUUCUCUCUUUUUUUUUUAACACUCACAUGCUUAUAAUUGCUUGUUUAGUGCUGAGCUGCACUGAAUCUUUGUUAACUGAAUAGGUUAAAUGGUAUUUUAUUGCUGCUUUAUUAUAUAUUUUCUUGAUUAUUAGAAAGGUUAAAUAUUUUUUCAAUAUUAGCCACUUAUGGUAUCUCUUUUAUGAAUUCUUUUUUUCUUUUUUUCUUUUUUUUUGAGGCAGAGUCUUGCUCUGUCUCCCAGGCGGGAGUGCAGUGGCGCAAUCUUGGCUCACUGCAAACUCUGCCCCCCGGGUUCACGCCAUUCCCCUGCCUCAGCCUCCUGAGUAGCUGGGAAUACGCGCGCUGGUCACCACACCCGGCUGAUUUUUUUUGUAUUUUUAGUAGAGACGGGGUUUCACCGUGUUAGCCAGGGUGGUCUCGAUCCCCUGACCUCAUGAUCCGCCCGCCUCGGCUUCCCAAAGUGCUGGGAUUACAGGCAUGAGCCACCGCGCACAGCCUCUUUUAUGAAUUCUCUAAUCAUGUCUCUUUUAUCAUUUUCUUUCUUUCUUUUUUGAGAUAGAGUCUCGCACUGCCACCCAGGCUGGAAUGCAGUGGUGCUAUCUUGGCUCACUGCAACCUCCACCGCCAGGUUCAAGCUAUUUUCCUGCUUCAGCCUUCCAAGUAGCUGGGACUACAGGUGCACGCCACCAUGCCUGGUUAAUUUUUGUAUUUUUAGUAGAGACAGGGUUUCACCAUGUUGGCCAGGCUGGUCUCGAACUCCUAACCUCAGGUAAUCCACCUGCCUUGGCUUCCCAAAGUGUUGGGAUUACAGGCAUGAGCCACUCUGCCCAGUCUCUGUUUUCAUUUUCUAUCAGGGUUUACAUGUUUUUGUAUGAGCUCUCUAUAUAAAAUAUAUUAACCAUCUAAGAAUUUAUUACAAACAUUUGUUGUAUGAAUUGAAAAAUUAAUUCAUACUAUAUUCUCUUGAAAAUUAUGAUUUUAAUAUUCCUCCCAGAGUCUGAACCUGGCUGUCACUAUAGUCAUCUGUUCAAGCAGCCUACCUGAGAGUUUGAGCCAGAAUCUUCUUUUUUGGUUUUCAGUGGUACCUUUGUGCCUACAUUAAAAAAACAAACAAACACAAGAAGUCAGAACAUUAGAUGUGAAGGCCACAUAGUAUUAAAAACAAAUGGUUGAGGUGGGAGGUGGGAGUGAAGACUCUGGGAUUCCACUCCGGUCUCUUCAUGUAUUGUCUAUGUUGCGUUAACCUGUACUAACUUCACUGAGCUUGUUUAGUUAAUUGUAAACACAACUAUUUAUAGUCUAUAUACAUUAGUAACAGUCUAUAGUUCAUUUCUGUUUAAAAGUCUUUGCUAUUUAUUUAUUAGAUACAGAGUCUGGCUCUGUUGCCCAGGCUGGAGUGCAGUGGUACAAUCAUAGCUCACUGCAGCCUUGAACUCCUGGUCUCAGGCAAUCCGCCCACCGUGGCCUCUCAAAGUGUUGGAAUUACAGGUCUGAGCCAUCAUACCCAGCCUCUUUGCCAUUUCUUAUAUGAAGCUAUUGCUAAUUACCUAAAAUACCAAAACCAGCUCUUUGAGAGAUGCCCACAAAUAAUGUCUAUCCCACACAAAUUCCCAUUUUAAAAUCAGUUUUCCUUCUACCGUAAAAAUAUGGCAAUAUGGAUUAUUAUACAGCUUAAGUAUAAUGAUAUUAUUUGGUUUAUUUGAAUUAGGACAUAACAUAAUAAAAAAAAUUCUCUAUACUCACUUAAAACAUUUGCACCAGAGGUGGGAUAAUCCUCAACAGGCUCCACAAAGUUCAGGGGGAAAAUCCCAGUUCUGCCUCGAACUUCUCCUCUGGCCCAUUCCUCAUUCACAUACUCUUUAAGAAUAAUAAUUUCUCCCUCUGAGAAACUCAACUCAUCCUUCUGCUCUCCAAUAUAUUCAAACCGAGCAACACAUCUUGAGCCUCUGAAUGAAGAACACAUUUUGUGGAUUAGACUAGAGAGUGCUUUUAAAAUGCUUAAAAACCUUCAUUCAGUCUUUCAAUAAAUAUUUAUUCUGGGUUUACCAUGGAAUAAGGUAUACUAGGCUAAUUUGAAAUUAUUCCAUGAAAAAGAGUAAGUUACACUUUUAAGUAACAGAUAUGAACCUAUUCACUCAGAAAGGCUGAAGCUCAAGGUCGCGGAGUGCACGCAGCUGGGUGGUUAGUUUACCCUGCUGUGUCUUUUGAUCUUCUUACUCCCCAGUCUCCGUAUGUUUGUAUCCUUGGGCCACAGCAAUCCGUGGUCCAGUCUGAACCCUUCCAAUCAUAAAUGCACUGAGUUGAGGAGUGCUAACCCUGAGAAUCUCAGGGCAAUUAAUCAAAUUUUCUGACUACUAAUCAGGGCAGAAUGCAAUGGGCAUCAGCUGGGCAAAGUUGAUGUUCAAUAGAUGCUCAAUUAAUCAGUGAGCUGGCCUUAAAAACUAGGAGGUUUAAAGAAAACAGAAACUUGGCAUAUCAUAACACACAGUCUUGGAACUAACCCUGUUGCCUUUAAAAAUGAUUUUUUUAAUCUCCUUUAAAAGGGCUUCAUUUCUGACAUUUGGAACAAUCCUUACAUGAUCUGCAAUUUUGACUGAAAAUAAGAUAAAAGCAGAGAUAAAAUUGUGUCUCUAGAAGGUGUGCUUUAAUACUAAUCCCUAGAUUUGAGGGUUUAGAAAGGAAGUUUCAAUAGCAACAGGCUAAGGAGAAGCAAUUGCCUAAAAAGAAAAGGUUGAUUCUAGCUUUAAUAGAAUUCUGAUUUAAGUCAGAUCAAUGGGUCAAUGACUGUAAAAGCCCACUUCGAAUUCAACCUGCUGAGACACAGUAUAUGCUGCUUAAAAAUAGAGAAAAACUGAAUCUGAAAUAGAAUUCAACUAUUGUGGAUCAGAAGUUUUCUUAUUUGUGAUAACCUUUGCAUUUGUUUUCUAAAGUCCUCUGGGAGCAUCUGCUUAUGUCUGACCUAUUCAUAGACAGGUUUACAGUCUUCAGCAGGUAAUGAAUUCUAUUAAUUUGCUCAUUUAACUAGAAUAUAAAGUUGCAUUGUGGCAGUGCUUUAAAUCACAAAGGAGUUACAAUGACACAUAAAAGGGUAUAUAAAUUCAGGGAAACGUCCUCAGAGAUAAAGGAAAACCCCUUCAACUUAACUCUUCCUUCACUUUCUUCUAGUUCCUCUUAAAAACAAAAACAUACAAAAUGUCUAGCAGUUAUUGUAGGAUUCAUAUUUCUAUAGGAUUUAAUUAUUUCUCAUGACAAAAAUACUUGAACCUUCUAAAAACUGGGUGAACACCAGAUGGCCAAAAUAAAAUGCAGUAAAUGAUGAAACUAUCUCUGCUCAUGCUGAGACCAGGCUGCAGGAAGCACUGGCAUAGACUGUCUUUGCUGCUUUCUUUAUGUCCUGCACUGAUGUUGGAGAGUUGCUUAGGUAAGCUUCUAUCAGCAGGUUCAUGAUGUAUUUUCAUCAGAAUUUUAACCCAUUGUCACCUUUUAAACAAGUUUUCUUUGUAAUUAAAAAGACACGAUGAGAAUCUGAAUUAUCACCAUAUGAAGUGUUUUCUUUUAAAAUAAAGAAUAAAUAAAUAAUAGAGAUGGGUUCUUGCUAUGUGGCCCAGGUUAGUCUUGAACUCCUGGCAUCAAGCAAUCCUCCCACCUCAGCCUCCCAAAGUACUGGGAUACAGGUCUGAGCCACCAUGCCUGGCCUUGGAGUGUUUUAAGCUUGAUAAUUCUUCAUGAUAUAGAUGGUUAUCUCCUUUGUAUUUUGUGUAAAAGAACACAAAUAAAACUUACUUAACACAAUGAGAUGAAACACAUUCUCUUUUCCCAUUUCCUCCUUCUGGGAUAUCAAUCUAGCAAAGAUAAAAUCAAGGCAACAAUUAUAUUUUUUUCAGAUUUUCAUAAGAUAAAUUUAAGGUUAAGUAAUUAGAAAGUACAUGACUGAAAUCGAUCGGUUUAGCUAGGUGUUAAUCUGAUUAAGAGGAACUACAGGUGCUAAAUGGUAAAACAAAUCCUGAAUUUGGAUUAAAAAAAAAGUGUAACUUGUGAAGUAGCCUUCCUUGAGUAGCCAAUCAAUUCUCUUAUUUACUGGAAUAACCACAUUAAUAUCACUCUAAUUCUGACUGAAUUUUCUCUAUCUCAUUUUUUUUUUUUUUUUUUUUUUUUGAGACAGGAUCUUACUCUGUCACCCAGGCUGGAGUGCAGCGGCACAAUCAGAACUCACUGCAGCCUUGACCUCCCAGCCUCAAGUGAUCCUCUUGCUUUAGCCCCACAAGUAGCUGGGACUACCGGUGUGCACCACCACACCCGGCAAAUUUUUGUAUUUUUAGUAGAGACAGGGUUUCACCAUUGUUGCCUGGGCUGGUCUUGAACUCUUGGACUCAAGCAAUCUGCCUGCCUUAGCCUCCCAAAGUGCUGGUAUUAUAGGUGUGAGCUGCCGCACCCUGCCAGCUCUAUACCAUAUUUUCCAGGUUGAAAACUGCAGCUGAGAAGGACUUAACAUAGAAAUCAGGCAUUAGCCCUGCCACACCUACUCCAAGUGUUGGUAGAAUCCUGCAAUGCUUCUCUGACCCCAAGAUAAAACAUUUCAAUAAAACUUUGGAUUCUCGGGCUGAGCACAGUGGCUCACGCCUGUAAUUCCAGCACUCUGGGAGGAUCAGGAGUUCGAGACUAGUCCGGCCCGGGUGACAACAGCGAGACUGUCUCAAAAACAAAACAAAACAAAACAAAACAAAACAAAACAAAACAAAACAAAAACAACUUGUGGAUUCUCUUCACAUUUAUAACUGAAAUAUUUUCCCCCUUCAACAUGAAUAGGGAAGAAAGGAAUCUGUAUUUAGCAAACUAAGUGGCAACACUUUGUUUUAUUUUAUUUAUUUAUUUUUUGAGACAGGGUCUCACUCUGUUGCCCAGGCUGGAGUGCAGUGGCGUGAUCAUGGCUCACUGCAGCCUUGCCCUCCCAUGCUCACACCAUCCUCCCACUUCAGCCUCCCAAGUAGCUGGGACUACACACGCGUAACACCAUGCCAAGUUAAUUUUUCAAUUUUUUGUGGGGACAGGGUCUCACUAUGUUGCCCAGGCUGGUCUUGAACUCCUGAGCUCAAGUGAUCCUACCUACUGCCUCAGCCUCCCAAAGUGUUGGGAUUACAGGCAUGAGCCACUGUGCCCAGCCAAGCACUUAAUAUAAUAUCUCAUUUACAAGGCUCAGUAGAGGAGGGCUGGGUUGCAAUAAAAUAUUUGGCUAUAAUGCAUGCAAUUUAAAACUACUUAAAGCUCGAGGUUUAUAUUAAAUCAGUGCCUUCUUGAAUUUUAAAGUUUUGAAGUUUUAAAACAAUUUUUUAAACUUGUGGGCUUAGAAAUAACACUUAUACCAAUAAUGUGGCAGAUUCUGUGUGAUUGAUUUCAGUGUGGUAAUUGUGCUUUUUAAAGUACUGCUACAUUGGGCAGAAGAAAAAUGAGGAAGAGUGCUAAAACAAACAUUAUUCUUAAUAUUAAUUUACAGAAUGUGGUUGAAUUUCUCCAAAGAAUCAAGGCAUAGAUACACUGGACAAUGUUUAAUGCCUACCCUUCAUAAUCCAAGAGACUCAAAUUCAUUUCUAUUUGAAGAAUUCAGAUUUUCUGUUAGUCUUGUUUUCUAAUAUUCUGAUGUAAUGGAAUUUAUUUACUUUUUCCUUCCAAAUAAGCUGUUAAUGCUGUUAAGCUAAAUUUAUUGAUAUUUCACAGUAUCAGUAAGUUAUAUCAGGGACCGAGUCAUCCUAUUCCAAUUGAUACAAAUGUGUGAGGGCAGUCUGAUUUUAUCCCCAUGUUUCACACAGCCAUCUGGGCUUACACACAGCUCUCACACAUAGGAAUGCUUUCACAAGUUAGGCCGUGAGGGUAUAAAAAUUCUGGUGCUUUAAUAUAAUUUUCCUAAUCAGAUUAGAAAUUAUUUUGUGGGUACAACCAUUAAUGAACCACUAUCUCCAAUAUAAAUACUUCUGUAUUCCCAAAUAAAUUUUUUUUUAAAGAUGGAGAUAAAUAAGAAUGGAAAAGAUGAAAGAAACUCAAACCAAAAUGUACUCCAAAGAAAAGAAGUGGUACCAUAACCUCAGAGAACAUCUCUACAGGAUAAGCUAGUAUCACUGAAUUCAUGUUCACUAAAUGUCUCAAAGAAUUACCAUAUAUCCUUAAGUGCUUAACAACUCUCCAAGAACAGCUGAUUCACCAGUUGACCUGUGGUGGUCUUUCACUUUAGGAUUUCAGACAGCAUUUAGGCAUUAAGUUCUAACACUCCAUAAUAUAAUAAUUAACCAUCACCUAGUUGACCAAAUCUUUAUUUUUGAAUUUUCCAAAUGCCAAAUGAAUCAAUGAAAGAGAACUAGAAUCUGGGUUUCUAGUUAUUUUUUCCAACCUACAAGUCACAUAGAACCCACUGAGUAUAUGACCAAAUUAAAACAAACACAACCCACUUACAAUCACUUUGACAUAGUUGGCAGGAAAUAUGCCAAUCUGGUUUCUACAGUUCCCUCUGUACCAAUCUGUAUCUAUCUUCUCCAGAAGAUAAACAAUUUCUCCAGAAGUGAGGUUCAAAUCAUCAACUUGCUCUGUAAUAUAAAAUUAUAGUUAUGUAUGAUGAAUCAUCCUGGUUGCAGAUUUGAUAAAAGCACAAAGUAGCAUUUAGUUGUGUCCACUGAGGCAGUUAUGUUCCACUGAUUCUGAGAACAGAUUAUACUAAUCAAAUUGACUUAAAAAAUGCUAUUCUUUUUUUGGACAUUGUUAUGAGCUCCCUUUUUAAAGACCAAAUUAGACACAUUUACCAUGCUUUGAUUGAUGGGAAAUGGUUGAAAAAAACACUAUUGUGUUAGCAAAUGUUUCCUACUGUGCCAAUAUAAAGCCGUGCUGAAUACACACUGAACAAUGAAAAAAGUUUAUAGACAUGGUAUAAUAUUAUUAUUCUCAAUUAUGCUUAAAAAUCAUUUUAAUUUCAAAUAUUAACUAAGGGAGUACUACAACUCUUUAGCAAAUAAGUUUACCCAUACCAAAACAAAAAUCAGCCUAUCAAGUGGAUAAAAAGAGAUUGUAAGUAAAUCAGGAGUUUAUUUGUAGCCUUGGAUAUGAAGGGCAUUUUAAAAAUUAUUACAAAAGUACUUAUAUUGUGCGUGGGCAUGGGUGGCUCAUGCCUGUUAUCUCAGCACUUUAAGAAGCUAAGGUGGGAGGAUCACUUGAGGCCAGGAGUUCAAGACCAGCCUGGGCAACAUAGCGAGACCAUGUCCCUAGGAAAAAAAAAAAUUAGCCAGGUGUAGUGGCACCCCUGUAGUCCUAGCUACUGGGGAAGCUGAGGGAGGAGGAUCACUUGAGUCCAGGAGUUCAAGGUUAUAGUGAUUGCACCACUGCACUCAAGCCUAGGCGACAGAGCAAGAUCUUGUCUCACACACACACACACACACACACACACACACACACACACACACACACAAAUUACUUUGAUCUCAUAGGUAAGUAAGCAGCUGAGACAACUUUGAAGACAAAAGAACUUCAGUUAUUAAGUUAGGAUUAACUUUAUUACAAUUUUUUUGUUGUUGUUGUUUUUUGAGACGGGGUUUUGCUCUUGUUGCCCAGGGUGCAACGGCACAAUCUUAGCUCAUUGCAACCUCUGCCUCCCAGGUUCAAGUGAUUCUCCUGACUCAGCCUCCCAAGUAGCUGGGAUUACAGGCAUGCGUCACCAUGCCCGGCUACUUUUUUGUAUUUAUAGAGACGGGGUUUCAACAUGUUGGUCAGACUGGUCUGGACUCCUGACCUCAGGUGAUCCAUCCGCCUCGGCCUCACAAAGUGCUGGGAUUACAGGUGUAAGCCACUGUGCCCAGCCAUAUUACAAUUGUUAAUUAGUACCCACUAUUUUUUUUUUUCUUUUUUGAGACGGAGUCUCGCUCUGUCCCUCGGGCCGGAGUGCAGUGGCGCGAUCUCAGCUCACUGCAACCUCAGCCUCGCGGGUUCACGCCAUUCUCCUGCCUCAGCCUCCCGAAUAGCUGGACUACAGGCGCCCGCCACUACGCCCGGCUAAUUUUUUGUAUUUUUAGUAGAGACGGGGUUUCACCAUGUUAGCCAGGAUGGUCUCAAUCUCCUGACCUCGUGAUCCGCCUGCCUCGGCCUCCCAAAGUGCUGGGAUUACAGGCGUGAGCCACUGCGCCCGGCCUAGUACCCACUAUUUUGAAAGAGUUAAAAAGUUUGUGACUGGUAGGCAAUUUGCAAUGUUCAUUUGUAAGGGAAAGUCUCUCUCUCUCUCUUUCUCUUUCUCAGGGAGCUUCAAAGGCAAGGGUAUACAACUAAGCUUUCUGGAAUGGCUGGUACAAUCAACCCUUCUUGAAGUGGAGUCCUGGAUAAGAUGACCUCUCCAGUCUCGGACUCUAUAGGCACAGAAAAAUGAAGAAGGAUGUCCUUGAGAGGCUAACCCCCGGCAGGGAAAAAGACUUACUCCUGGAUCCUGUGGUUCUCCCACUGCAUUAUUUACAUCCUUACCUGCUGGGAAAUCAUGAAGAACGACAGCAUGAGGAGCACCACUGUCAACAGGCUUCUGAGCGUGGCUUGGAUCCUUAGGGGGAGAAAAGGGCUGUGAAUGAAGUGUGCAGGAUAGAUGGUGGAUUUAUUAUUCACUCUGAGACCAAUUUUUUUUUUCUCAUUAGAGUCCUCUUGACACAAUUACAUUAUGAGUACAUGAUGCAAACCACACAGUUGAGCCAAACAAGGGAAUUAUUAUCAAGUUGAAGAAGAAUGUGUCCUUGCUAAGGGAGGAUGAAAAUCUCAAUUAAAAUAUCCCCCAGUAUGUUUUCUUUUUGCUUUUUUAAGCUGAGAGAGUAAAACAAAAGGGAACUGUUUAUUUAUUUUGAAACAGUAUCUAUUCUACCCCAAAGUAGUGGUUUUUGACCUCUUUCCCUUUCAAGGAUAGCUUUUUCCUUAAAACUGUGAUCAAGACAGAGUCUUAAAAGUUGUGUCUUUAUUAGGAUGGGAAAAGAAGAAAGUUCUAUGAUUUAUGCUCUUGCCUUUUGUAAUGAAAGGAGCUAAUGACUUUCAACAGAAGUAUAAUUCACAAAAAGUAAAAUCCAUUUCAUUUAUUACCACUUAACUAAGUGCUUUUUCUAAUUUGAAAGCAAUGCUACCUCCCAUGCCUGGUCUGCAUUUUGUAUUUAAUCUGAAUGGUUUAUUCAACAGUAGUUCUAAAUAAAUUAGCAAAAAGAAUCUAACAUUCUCUAUCCAUCUAGCCAAAUGCCGAGAUUGGCCAGAGGAUAAGGCAAAGCUGAAGAGCGACCUCUUCUUAUUGACUAGCAAUUGUUAUUCUUAGUUUCUUUAUAUCAAGAGACAGGCUUAUCCUCAUCAUCAUCAAAUCCCACUGAAGGAUAUUAUUUGGAGUUAUAACUUAACACUCUUCAACACUGGCAAGCCUGUGAAAUAAAUAAAGGCAGAUUUUUGUGCCCUUUCUUGUCUCUUCACCUCCUCUAAUAACUCUUGUCCCCUUAGAGACGUCCUGACACAUCUAUACCUCUGCCCUUCCCCUGGCCAUGAUGCACCAGGCUGAUUGCAGCGCACUGUGAAUGAUGGUCCACUUUCUCCAUUUCAACCCUGCAGCACCUUUGCUGAGAUCUUUUCUAAAUCUCAGCUGCUCUUUCAACCAAAAUGCACCUGCAGAAACAAAACUUUCAUUCUCUCAAGUUAGUGUAUGGAUAUCACUGGCAAUGCUGCUCAUCAACCCAGCCUAGCAGGUGAAGGGCAAGAGGAACAGGCUAGACAGGGUUGCCAACAAGUGGUCCAUACAAUUCAGACCAUACCACUGGGGUAGGUAUCUGGUAGGUAAAUAUAACAUAAUGCAAAGGUCUUUCUAAUAUGACUAUAACUGCUAAUGCAAAUGGUUUUGUAAUAUUAAGAAUAGCUAAUAUUUACUGCUCAUUCACCAUGUGCUAGUCACUGUGUUAAAUACCUUAUAUGCAUUAGCUCAAUGAAUUUGUUAAACAUCUUUGAGAUAUAACCCACAUACAAUAAAAUUUACCUACUGAAAGUGAACAUGGCUGUAGCAUAUUCAUAGAAUUAUCCAACCAUCACCAUAACCCAAGUGCAGAACACUUUUAUCACUCCCCAAAGAAACCUCCUACUAAUUAGGUGUCACACCCCAGUUACCCUCCCCUCAGCCCCAGGCAACCAGUAGUCUACUUUCUGUCUCUAUGGAUUUAUCUAUUCUGGACUUUUACACAAAUAACAUCAUAUAAUCUGUCAACUCUGAAGACAACUCUGUGGGCAGUUAUCUCACACAUUAAAAAAAUAAAGUUUAGAGAAGUUAAAUAACCACCGAAGAAGGUGGAAGGGGAACCAAAUUCCACUUCCCUGAAACCCAGGUCUGGGGUCUCAACCAUGUACCAGGCAACAACCUUCCACUUUUCCCAUGAUCUGUCUGAUUCAACCACAACUGGUCAUGUUCAUUCAAUAUUUUCUGUUUGCCAAGUUAGGGCAAAGUACAACAUAUUCGUAGAGAUAUUUACCUUAAAACUAGGCUUUCAAAUAGGUAAGUUUUAUUUAAAAAAAAAAUGUAACAAUAGCCAUGAACCCAGAAGCAUAAAGGAGGAUUCAUUUCAUUAUCACCAAUAGCUGCCCAUCAGAGGCCAACUCUCUGCAAGUCUAUAGUAAAAGAUGAGAAGGUGGUAUUUAAGGUGGAAAGAACUUUGCACUGUUAUAAAAGACUAACUUUUGGCUGGGCAUGGUGACCCAUACCUGUAAUCUGAACACUUUGGGAGGCCCAUGCAGGCAGAUGGCUUAGCCCAGGAGUUUCAGACCAGCCCUGGCAACAUAGUGAGACCCUGUCUCUACAAAAAAUUUUAAAAAUUGCCAGGCAUGGUGGUGCACGCCUGUAGUCCCAGCUACUCAGGAGGCUGAGGUGGGAGGAUUGCUUGAGCCGGGAAGGUCAAGGCUGUAGUGAUCAUACCACUGCACUUCAGCCUGGGCAACAGAGUGAGACCUUAUCUCAAAAAAAAAAAAAAAAAUUCUAAUUUUUUUUAGCUUCUAUUUUUCACAAAGGAAAGCUUUUUGGCAGUAUAACUUCCACUGUUGCCAUAAGUGUGUUCUGAAAGAGGAAGGACAGCUAUGACAGAUGGAUAAUGCCGUACCAAAACAGAGAAAAUGAGUCAGUGGAGAACUUGCCCCGUGGGAGCUAAAGUAAGGAUUUUCAUAUGCCAGCAGAAGCUACCUUAACACAUAUCUCCUCUGCUCUCCAAAUACAAUUUUUUAGUUUCUUAGCAAACUUCAAAAGAUAAACUGCCUUCUAAGAAGAAAAAAUGGGAAAAGAUUAUGAAAACUAGGAUAAACGGCAAACCAAGUAUUUUACUUGAUCACUAUUAUUUUUCAUAUUUACUUUAUUUUUUUAUUUGUUUUUUUUUUCCAAGACAUAAUCUCGCUCUAUGGCCCAGGCUGGAGUGCAGUGAAGAAAACAAAACACAGGGUAGUCACUCUGUAUCGAAGUGAUUAGUAUGGCAGUGGCAAGUCUCUUAGUAGUAAUUUAUUCUAAAAGUAGAAUAAAUGCUACUGUAAUUUUUACUCUGGUUAAAAUAAAUGUGCUAAUAAAAACCUGAAGAUGAGAUAUAAUUAAUAGUUCCAUGAAAUGUGCUGCUAUGUGUGAUAUGAGGGCUGUAACAAUAUUAAUUCCUUACGUUUGGUCUGCUUCUAAGAUGUUCAUCAAGUGGAGUGAUAAUCUUCAUUUGAGACAGGUGAACUCUGCCAGUGUCUUCUCCCUUUUGGCACUCCAAGUAAU
rnacentral:lncRNA from 1 species